CCAAAAUCCGGGCGCGGAAUUCAAGGGUGUGAGGCGAGCGGCUUAGGCCGCGAAGCAAUCGGAAGUGGUUCCAAGAAAAGCCUCUAAGCUUCAGUCUAACAAGACCGUACCGCAAACCGACACAGGUGGGCGAGAUGAGUAUUCUAAGGCGCUUGAGAGAACUCGGGAGAAGGAACUCGGCAAAUUGGUACCGUAACUUCGGGAUAAGGUACGCCCUUGUAGCUUGACUGGCCUGCGCCAGGAGGGUGAGAGGGUUGCAAUAAACUGGUGGCUGCGACUGUUUAAUAAAAACACAGCACUCUGCAAACACGAAAGUGGACGUAUAGGGUGUGACGCCUGCCCGGUGCCGGAAGAUUAAAUGAUGGGGUGCAAGCUCUUGAUUGAAGUCCCGGUAAACGGCGGCCGUAACAAUAACGGUCCUAAGGUAGCGAAAUUCCUUGUCGGGUAAGUUCCGACCUGCACGAAUGGCGUAACGAUGGCCACACUGUCUCCUCCCGAGACUCAGCGAAGUUGAAGUGUUUGUGAUGAUGCAAUCUCCCCGCGGCUAGACGGAAAGACCCCAUGAACCUUUACUGUAGCUUUGCAUUGGACUUUGAACCGAUCUGUGUAGGAUAGGUGGGAGGCUAUGAAACCGGAACGCUAGUUUCGGUGGAGCCGUCCUUGAAAUACCACCCUGGUUUGUUUGAGGUUCUAACCUUGGUCCGUUAUCCGGACUGGGGACAGUGCAUGGUAGGCAGUUUGACUGGGGCGGUCUCCUCCCAAAGUGUAACGGAGGAGUACGAAGGUACGCUAGGUACGGUCGGAAAUCGUGCUGAUAGUGCAAUGGCAUAAGCGUGCUUAACUGCGAGACCGACAAGUCGAGCAGGUGCGAAAGCAGGUCAUAGUGAUCCGGUGGUUCUGUAUGGAAGGGCCAUCGCUCAACGGAUAAAAGGUACUCUGGGAUAACAGGCUGAUACCGCCCAAGAGUUCAUAUCGACGGCGGUGUUUGGCACCUCGAUGUCGGCUCAUCUCAUCCUGGGGCUGUAGCCGGUCCCAAGGGUAUGGCUGUUCGCCAUUUAAAGAGGUACGUGAGCUGGGUUUAAAACGUCGUGAGACAGUUUGGUCCCUAUCUGCCGUGGGCGUUGGAUAUUUGAAGGGGGCUGCUCCUAGUACGAGAGGACCGGAGUGGACGAACCUCUGGUGUACCGGUUGUCACGCCAGUGGCAUCGCCGGGUAGCUAUGUUCGGAAGAGAUAACCGCUGAAAGCAUCUAAGCGGGAAACUCGCCUUAAGAUGAGAUAUCCCCGGGGACUUGAUCCCCUUGAAGGGUCGUUCUAGACCAGGACGUUGAUAGGUCAGGUGUGGAAGCG
rnacentral:rRNA from 1 species